UGCGUAACGCGUGGGAAUCUACCUUGUAGUGGGGGAUAGCCCGGAGAAAUCCGGAUUAACACCGCAUAAUCUCUACGGAGGAAAAGGGGCCUCUUCUUGAAAGCUCUUGCUAUUAGAUGAGCCCGCGUUGGAUUAGCUUGUUGGUGGGGUAAUGGCCUACCAAGGCAACGAUCCAUAGCUGGUUUGAGAGGAUGAUCAGCCACACUGGGACUGAGACACGGCCCAGACUCC
rnacentral:rRNA from 1 species